ensembl:lncRNA
GUCAGAGCAAGAGCAGCCAUUAGACUUCUUUCAGGCUUCAUCUGGAUUUUGGACUCUGGAGUUGGAGAAACUGCCUUCAAAUUUCCGUGAUCCUUAGAGAUUAUUUGAGAAAUGGAUCAACAGCUAUUACUACUUGAAGCACUCUAAAUCCAAGCAAAGGAAAGACUUCCCCGAGUGAAAAAGAAGAUGAAGAUACAAGCUGGUGAUGAUCCAGAGCAGCUGGUCUCAGGAAAUGAAGAAAAACCCUGAUCACCUUUUCCACAGAAACAAGAAUAAAUUGCGACUAGUCUCAAUGGCUGAGAUGGAGGAGGAACACAGCGACACGUUAACCCGACUGCUGCAGUUCCUGUAUGAACUGAGCAACUCUAAAAAUC